rnacentral:rRNA from 1 species
UACGAGGGGGGCAAGCGUUGUUCGGAUUUAUUGGGCGUAAAGGGUGCGUAGGCGGUCUGGCAAGUCUUGUGUGAAAUCUUCGGGCUCAACCCGAAGUCUGCACAAGAAACUGCCGGGCUUGAGUAUGGGAGAGGUGAGUGGAAUUUCCGGUGUAGCGGUGAAAUGCGUAGAUAUCGGAAGGAACACCUGUGGCGAAGGCGGCGCUCUGGGCCGGAACUGACGCUGAGGAGCGAAAGCGUGGGUAGCAAACAGG